UCCAUCAACAGAUGAAUGGAUAAAGAAGAUGUGGUACAUAUAUACAAUGGAAUAUUACUCAGCCAUAAAAGAAGGAAACAAUGCCAUUUGCAGCAACAUGGAUGAACCUAGAAAUUGUCAUACUGAAUGAAGAAACAGGAACUUGAAGGAAAGACAAUUUGAGAAGGUGGACAUCCUUUGAGAAGUACCAUUCUGUAAUGUUUAACUGAUUUGAAGACUGCCAUGACCACUCUGGAAUUCUAUAUCCUGCUUGGUCUUAAAGCAGUGGUUGGCGAAGGCUACUAUGAGAACUGUGGCCCACUGUGCAUCGUCAUUUCUAUUUGUAGCUGAGUGGAGUUGGCAGCAGGCACAGGCUGGCAGUGGCUUGCAACACACUCCUUGUCAAAGCACAUACUGUUUCUGCAGCUGGCAUCUAUUCCCUGUACAACCCAAUUAUAACAGUAUUACUGAGUCUUGUGACAGUCACACAUUUCAUCACCUGGGCGACUGGGCAGCAGGCUGGCCAUGGCAUGGGUGCCCU